CCGGACAUUAUUACGAAGAAACCUAAAGUCCAUUAUCUCUGCCAUAUCGUGCGAGACGUGAUUAGGUUUGGUCCAGUUCUCCAUCAGGCUACAGAACGACAUGAGAAGUUCAAUAUCGUGGCUGCACCAUCCGUGGAAAUGGGCAAGCUAAUAGUCAUGAUGUGGCGGCUUGGUUUGCUCAUACUGGAACAUGUGCCCAUUUGGUAACUGGUGGUCUUUUUGCCACCGAAACCAGUAUAUGGAAAGCAAGUAAUAACGUCCUAGAGCUACAACAAGAUCACGGCCUUUGCACUUACCUCGGCUGGUCUGUUCCUAGAAAACUGCUACGGUCUAUUAUUUAUUUAUUCAUUUAUUCAGAUCCUGUGGUGGAGAGGACUCGAGUGAAGAGGAGAUAUAUAUAUAAUUGAAUCCUUUUAGCUGGUUUCCUUUUUAUUUAGAAAUCUCUCAAUGCAAGUCCGGGAGAUUACGCUCUCUAGGAUCAACAAU
rnacentral:sRNA from 1 species